rnacentral:rRNA from 1 species
UACGUAGGGUGCGAGCGUUAAUCGGAAUUACUGGGCGUAAAGCGUGCGCAGGCGGUUUUGUAAGCCAGAUGUGAAAUCCCCGAGCUUAACUUGGGAACUGCAUUUGGGACUGCAAGGCUAGAGUACGGCAGAGGGGGGUAGAAUUCCACGUGUAGCAGUGAAAUGCGUAGAGAUGUGGAGGAACACCGAUGGCGAAGGCAGCCCCCUGGGUCAAGAUUGACGCUCAUGCACGAAAGCGUGGGGAGCAAACAGG